UCAGGAUGAACGCUAGCUACAGGCUAACACGAUGCAAGUCGAAGGGCAGCAUGGGUAGCUGCUAUUCAGAUGGCGACCGGCGCACGGGUGAGUAACGCGUAUCCAACCUUCCUGCCAGUAGGGAACAGCCCGGCGAAAGUCGGAUUAAUGCCCUAUGUUCUUCAAUGCGGACAUCUAAGUUGAAGGAAAGAUUCAUCGCUGGCAGAUGGGGAUGCGUCCGAUUAGCUUGCCGGCGGGGUAACGGCCCACCGGGCGACGAUCGGUAGGGGUUCUGAGAGGAAGGUCCCCCACACUGGUACUGAGACACGGACCAGACUCCUACGGGAGGCAGCAGUGAGGAAUAUUGGUCAAUGGGCGUAAGCCUGAACCAGCCAAGUAGCGUGCAGGAAUGACGGCCCUACGGGCUGUAAACUGCUUUUAUGCGGGGAUAAAGUGCGGCACGUGUGCCGCUUUGCAGGUACCGCAUGAAUAAGGACCGGCUAAUUCCGUGCCAGCCGCGGC
rnacentral:rRNA from 1 species